rnacentral:rRNA from 1 species
AUGCAGCUCCUUACAAUCCAGUUGGGAGAGCACGGUGAAAUUUUGACUGAAGAUGCUGUCCAAGCAUUGGAGCUACUGAGUGAACCUGAAAAAUUGGAAUGCUGUGAGAUCUCGGCUCAUGCUGUUUCUGGGGCUGAUAAUGCUGAAACAAUUCGCAUCCGAGCUCUGGUAAGCAACCAAGUCAUGUUAGCCCUCGUGGACUCAGGCAGUAGUCACAACUUUGUGGAUGAAAACUUUGCCAAGCGCGCUUCGUUGGACUUGGUCGCUGUUCCAUCAGUGCAAGUUACCGUUGCAAAUGGUCAAGCUAUGGAAUCCAAGUUUCAGGCCCCGAAUUUGACUUGGUGGGCACAGGGUCACACUUUUGAAACACCAAUGCGAGUGCUACAGCUGGGAGCAUAUGAUGCUGUCUUGGAGAUGGAUUGGCUGAAGUGUCACAGUCCAAUGACUUGUGAUUGGGAGGGAAAAUCGUUACAGUUUGUACAUAUGAUGCUAUGA